UGCAUGUCUAAGCACAUGCCGUAUUAAGGCGAAACCGCGAAUGGCUCAUUAAAUCAGUUAUGGUUCCUUGGAUCGUACCUUACUACUUGGAUAACUGUGGCAAUUCUAGAGCUAAUACAUGCAGCAGAGCUCCGACCUUCGGGGACGAGCGCUUUUAUUAGACCAAAACCGAUCGGACCUAGCGUCCGCAUCUUGUGGUGACUCUGUAUAACCUUGGGCUGAUCGCACGGGCGUGUCCCGGCGACGUAUCCUUCAAGUGUCUGCCUUAUCAACUUUCGAUGGUAGGUUACGCGCCUACCAUGGUCGUAACGGGUGACGGGGAAUCAGGGUUCGAUUCCGGAGAGGGAGCCUGAGAAACGGCUACCACAUCCAAGGAAGGCAGCAGGCGCGCAAAUUACCCACUCCCAGAACGGGGAGGUAGUGACGAAAAAUAACAAUACGGGACUCUUUUGAGACCCCGUAAUUGGAAUGAGGACACUGUAAAUCCUUGUCCCAGGAUCCAUUGGAGGGCAAGUCUGGUGCCAGCAGCUGCGGUAAUUCCAGCUCCAAUAGCGUAUAUUAAAGUUGUUGCGGUUAAAAAGCUCGUAGUUGGAUCUCAGUUCCAGACUGGAGGUCCGCCUAACGGUGGUUACCGCCCUGUUCUGAACAACCAGCCGGUUUCCCUUGUUGAUCUUCACCGGUUGUCUUGGGUGACCGGCAAGUUUACUUUGAAAAAAUUAGAGUGCUCAAAGCAGGCGUGACGCCUGAAUAAUGGUGCAUGGAAUAAUGGAAUAGGAUCUCGGUUCUAUUUUGUUGGUUUUCGGAAUACGAGAUAAUGAUUAAGAGGGACAGACGGGGGCAUUCGUAUUGCGACGCUAGAGGUGAAAUUCUUGGACCGUCGCAAGACGAACUACUGCGAAAGCAUUUGCCAAGAAUGUUUCCAUUAAUCAAGAACGAAAGUUAGAGGUUCGAAGGCGAUCAGAUACCGCCCUAGUUCUAACCAUAAACGAUGCCAGCCAGCAAUCCGGCUGUGUUCCUCAAAUGACACGCCGGGCGGCUUUACGGAAACGAAAGCUUUUUGGUUCCGGGGGAAGUAUGGUUGCAAAGCUGAAACUUAAAGGAAUUGACGGAAGGGCACCACCAGGUAUGGAGCCUGCGGCUUAAUUUGACUCAACUCGGGGAAACUCACCCAGCCAGGACACAGGAAGGAUUGACAGAUUAAGAGCUCUUUCUUGAUUCUGUGGAUGGUCCUGCAUGGCCGUUCUUAGUUGG
rnacentral:rRNA from 1 species